GAUGAAGAACUAGCGAAAUGCGAUAAGUAAUGUGAAUUGCAGAAUUCAGUGAAUCAUCGAAUCUUUGAACGCACAUUGCGCCCGCCAGUAUUCUGGCGGGCAUGCCUGUUCGAGCGUCAUUACAACCCUCAGGCCCCCGGGCCUGGCGUUGGGGAUCGGCGGAGCCCCCCGUGGGCACACGCCGUCCCCCAAAUGCAGUGGCGGUCCCGCCGCAGCUUCCAUCGCGUAGUAGCUAACACCUCGCGACUGGAGAGCGGCGCGGCCACGCCGUAAAACACCCAACUCUUCUGAAGUUGACCUCGAAUCAGGUAGGAAUACCCGCUGAACUUAAGCAUAUCAAUAAGCGGAGGA
rnacentral:misc_RNA from 1 species